rnacentral:rRNA from 1 species
AUUCCAGCUCCAAUAGCGUAUAUUAAAGUUGUUGCAGUUAAAAAGCUCGUAGUUGGAUUUCGGAAUGGGUCAGUUGGUCCGCCGCAAGGUGAGUUACUGACUGAUUUGUUCUUCUUCGCAAAGACUGCGUGUGCUCUUUACUGAGUGUACGUAGGAUUUACGACGUUUACUUUGAAAAAAUUAGAGUGUUCAAAGCAGGCUAUCGCUUGAAUACAUGAGCAUGGAAUAAUGGAAUAGGACUUUGGUUCUAUUUUGUUGGUUUCUAGGACCGAAGUAAUGAUUAAGAGGGACAAUUGGGGGCAUCCGUAUUUCGUUGUCAGAGGUGAAAUUCUUGGAUUUACGAAAGACGAACAACUGCGAAAGCACUUGCCAAGAGUGUUUUCAUUG